UCAUUCUUUUUUUUUUCUGUUAGUGUUUUUUCAUAUGACAAAGUACUAUAUCUAAUAUAAUAUCUUCCUUCACAUAUUAAUCACAUUCAUGCCUUUUUUUUAAUGUGAUUUAGCUAUUGGCCAUUGUUCAUUCACUCUUUCCCAGUAAUAUAGGCUCCUGGGAUGGGUGCGCUUAACAUAACACUGAUAAAACCACAUGCAGUAGCAAAUGGUUCUCUGUAUGGAAUGGUGGCCUGCAUUGGAUGAGGGAGCUGAAG
rnacentral:misc_RNA from 1 species